CAGAUCAUGAUUUGAGAUUGUUUCUUGAUCGGGGUUGUAUUUAAUUAGGGAUUAUUAGGC
rnacentral:misc_RNA from 1 species